UACGAAGGGGGCUAGCGUUGCUCGGAAUCACUGGGCGUAAGGCGCACGUAGACGGCUUCUAAGUCAGGGGUGAAAUCCUGGAGCUCAACUCCAGAACUGCCUUUGAUACUGGAGAGCUAGAGUCCGGAAGAGGUGAGUGGAACUGCGAGUGUAGAGGUGAAUUCGUAGAUAUUCGCAAGAACACCAGUGGCGAAGGCGGCUCACUGGUCCGGUACUGACGCUGAGGUGCGAAAGCGUGGGAGCAACAGG
rnacentral:rRNA from 1 species